UACGUAGGGGGCAAGCGUUGUCCGGAAUCAUUGGGGCGUAAAGAGCGUGUAGGCGGCCCGAUAAGUCCGCCGUGAAAGUCCAGGGCUCAACCCUGGGAUGCCGGUGGAAACUGUCGGGCUAGAGUCCGGAAGAGGCGAGUGGAAUUCCUGGUGUAGCGGUGAAAUGCGCAGAUAUCAGGAGGAACACCAAUGGCGAAGGCAGCUCGCUGGGACGGUACUGACGCUGAGGUGCGAAAGCGUGGGGAGCAAACAGG
rnacentral:rRNA from 1 species